UCCGAUAUGGUGUAACGGCUAACAUUACCGCCUUUCAAUGACAUUAGUCACUUGAUGUUCUGUUCAAACGCGGUAGCUCGGGGUUCGAUUCCCCGUAUCGGAA